CUGGUUCUUCCCUCCCCUGGCUUGUCCCCUGCGCAGACCCCUCUGGUGCCACCGCUCUCCUGCACUCAGCUCGUUGGGAAUCCCAACCCAGAUGUUCCUUCCUCCAACAAGGAGGAAGCCCAUGUCCCCACCCACCUACAUUCACAGGGUGUCCUGAGUCUGAUCCAGGCGGAGACUUGAAAGGAGCCUGGACCCUGCCCUUCUUAGGCCCACACCCCACCAAGCCCUCUACAGUCCCCAUCCCCUCUACAAGUUCCUGCCCAACACGGAAGCCCGCACUGGGAUCUCCAGGUGAGCUCCGUGCCCCAGCCUCAGGUCUGACAUCUCUUCAGCUGCAGACCCUGCUCAGGCUGGUCUGAGCCUCCUGCUCUGGGAGGAAAGCAGGGUCCAGGGUCCAGCCUUCCAGGAUCAGUCGGUGCUUGCUGGGACUUGGAGUAUACGACCAGGAAUCGCCCUGGAGAGAUUCAGCCUCCACAUAAAAAGGCAUGGGAAGCAAGUUCUACCAUUGAGCUUCACUCCACGUGUGAUUUCCUUGAAUCCUCACCACCAUCUAGUUUUUUGGGUGUUUGUUGUUGUUGUUUUGUACUGGGAUUGAACUCAGAGGCUCUUAAAACCCUGAGGUAUACACCCAACCCUUUUUAUUUUUAUUUUGAGAUAGGGUCUCACCAAGUUGGAGAGGCUGGCCUCAAACUUAAACUUGCAAUCCUCCUGCCUCAGACUCCUGAGUCACUGGGAUUAUAGGCAUAUGCCACCUACCUGGCCUACCACCAUAUGGUUUGCAAAUCAUGAAACUAAGCCAGAGGCUCAGAAGGAUGAAGCCACUUACCAGCAGGUCAAGAGCACACUAGGGAUUAAAAAAAUCAAAGUGGAGGCUGGGGAUAUAGCUCAGUUGGUAGAGUGCUUGCCUUGCAUGUACAAGGCCUGGGUUUAAUCCCCAGCACCACCCUCCCCCCCCCCCAAAAAAAAAAGAAAAAUCAAAGUGGUGCUAGGGCUGUAGCUCAGUGGUUGAGUGCUGCCCGGCAUGCAUGAGGUCCUGGGUUCAAUCUCCAGCACCACUAAAAAAUAUAAAUGAAUGAAAAUAAAAAUAAAUUUUAAAAAAUCAAAGUGGAUAAUGAUUUCUCCCCAAUCCAUAUGCUCUUAUUCCUUGUCCCCAGGAUAGGACCCCCCCCACCCCCACCCCUGCACUGUUGAACGGACCUAAUGUGAAUUUUGAGUGGAAAGGACUUUAGAACCCAAUGAAUCCAGAUUUGAACCCUGGCUCUGCCCCCUCAAGAUUGGGAAAGUCGUAUGAAGAUGUGAAUUUGGUGUCAACAUACCUUAUAUAUAAUCAGAGAUAUGAUAAAUAAUAGUGUAUUAAGAAUUGUAAUACAAAAAUUAAUUAAUUAAUUAAUUAAAAUUUUAAAAAAAGAUUGGGAAACUCAUUUUGUGUCUGUGAACUCAGUUUUCUCCUGUGUGAAAUAGGAAUUAAUGAUCCCAGUGUCUCAGGUAUACAGUAAGAACUAAAUUCCUUUUAAUUCAACAAAUUAUUUAUGGCUAUUAAUUACACAUCAAGUCCUCCUCUUAUAAACCAGGCCUUCUUCUAGAUGCUGAGGAUAUAGCAAUGAAUAAAACAAGGUCCUUAGCCAGGUGUGGUGUCCCAUGCCUGUAAUACCAACAAGUUGAGAGGCUGAGGCAGGAGGAUCACAAGUUCAAGUCCAGCCUU